rnacentral:misc_RNA from 1 species
AAGUCGUAACAAGGUUUCCGUAGGUGAACCUGCGGAAGGAUCAUUAAAGAAUUAGGCUUCGCGGCCAAGUUCUCACCCUUUGUAUACCGAACCAUGUUCGCUUUGGCAUGGCCCCUUGCAGUUUCCUCGGGUCCUGGCCAGCAGGUUGAUUAACCACUAGAAUCUCUGCUGUCUGAGUACUAUGCAAUAGUUAAAA